AAAAGUCUUCCCCCUGUAAAUGCCCUCAGAGUUUCUUUUAUUGGAAGAGGCUGGCAUUGACAAUGGGGCUCUGCGGACAGAAUUUUUAACCGAAAUGAUGUCAGGAAUAGAGAAGCGGUUCUUUGAGGGAGGGGAGGAUGGCAAAAACCCCAAGUAUUCAAUGACAGACUUGGACAAACAUAACUUCAAGACUAUUGGUGAGAUAUUUGCCGUUAGCAUCGCACAGGGUGGUCCCCCACCAAACUUUUUUUGCAGUGGUGUUACAAGUACAUUUCCACUGGAGAAAUGGAUCAGGAAGCAAUAACUGAAAGGGAUGUAACAGACCCUGAACUGAUUGAGCUAAUUAAAGAGAUUCAGGCAGCUGACAACACAACCCUGAUGGAAUGUACAGACAGGAUUUUGUCAUGUGGAUACGAAGGGGCUGUGUCUAUAGAAAGAAAAGAAGAGAUUGUGCGGUAGGACAUUUCUUUUGUUAUAGGCAAUUCACCGUUUUACUCUGUUACAGCUCUGUAGUUCUACACACUACAGUGAGAUUACUUCCCAUGCUACAACAAAUCUGCUCUGCAAUAAAACUGUAUGGGCUUCUCGGCUUGGUCCAAAAAUAUACUGACAUUUGCAGACAGCUGUUUGUUCCAGGAUCAUUUU